UAGGGAAUCUUCGGCAAUGGGGGGAACCCUGACCGAGCAACGCCGCGUGAGUGAAGAAGGUUUUCGGAUCGUAAAGCUCUGUUGUUAAGGAAGAACGAGUGUGAGAAUGGAAAGUUCAUGCUGUGACGGUACUUAACCAGAAAGGGACGGCUAACUACGUGCCAGCAGCCGCGGUAAUACGUAGGUCCCGAGCGUUGUCCGGAUUUAUUGGGCGUAAAGCGAGCGCAGGCGGUUAGAAAAGUCUGAAGUGAAAGGCAGUGGCUCAACCAUUGUAGGCUUUGGAAACUGUUUAACUUGAGUGCAGAAGGGGAGGGUGGAAUUCCAUGUGGAGCGGUGAAAUGCGUAGAUAUAUGGAGGAACACCGGUGGCGAAAGCGGCUCUCUGGUCUGUAACUGACGCUGAGGCUCGAAAGCGUGGGGAGCGAACAGG
rnacentral:rRNA from 1 species